AGCUCCCUCUGUUGGUGACUGGUCCAGUCAGUUUGAUGAUGGGCUGUAGAACAGCUCCCUCUGUUGGUGGCUGGUCCAGUCAGUUUGAUGAUGGGCUGUAGAACAGCUCCCUCUGUUGGUGGCUGGUCCAUCCUGUAUGGGAUGAUGGGUUGUUGAACAGCUCCCUCUGUUGGUGGCUGGUCCAGUCAGUUUGAUGAUGGGCUGUAGAACAGCUCCCUCUGUUGGUGACUGGUCCAGUCAGUUUGAUGAUGGGUUGUUGAACAGCUCCCUCUGUUGGUGGCUGGUCCAGUCAGUUUGAUGAUGGGUUGUUGAACAGCUCCCUCUGUUGGUGGCUGGUCCAGUCUGUAUGGGAUGAUGGGUUGUUGAACAGCUCACUGUUAGUGGCUGGUCCAGUCUGUAUGGGAUGAUGGGUUGUUGAACAGCUCCCUCUGUUGGUGGCUGGUCCAGUCUGUAAGGGAUGAUGGGUUGUUGAACAGCUCCCUCUGUUGGUGGCUGGUCCAGUCUGUAAGGGAUGAUGGGUUGUUGAACAGCUCCCUCUGUUGGUGGCUGGUCCAGUCAGUUUGAUGAUG
ensembl:lncRNA